rnacentral:sRNA from 1 species
GCUAGGCACAGUGGCACAUGCCUGUAAUCCCAGUGGCUUGGGAGGCUGAAGCAGGAGGAUCGCAAGUUCAAAGCCAGCCUCAGCAAAUUAGUUAGGACCCUAAGCAAUUCAGUGAUACCUUGUUUCUA